CAUCAAGUCUAUCUUUGAGGCUGCAAUAUCUCAGCUCAUAGUUAAUGGACUACUGAGCAGCUGACCAGCAUUCUUCCAGUACCCAGAACAUAUUAGGAAUUAUCCUGAUAACAGCAAAAUAGGAGGCUGGAGUGGCAGGAGAGCGAAGGGUUAAGGAUGGAAAACCACAUUUUGUUGCUAUGCGAAGCUAGGGAGCAGCAGGUUUUUAGAAGGAAAACGAAGAAGCUGGUAUAUCACCCCCUUAAAAAGGAAACUGGCAACAAUCUAAACAGAAACUGAAUAAGGCACAUUAAGAAGACAAACCAUUUACGGCUUAUGGGAAAGAAAUCUGUUUUUACUUCCACACCACAGGCAGAGCACAUCUGAAGCCAGUAAUACAAUCAAACUUACCUCUUGACGUCAGUUAUUUUUCAUUUGGAGCAAGUUAGGCAAUCUAGACUAAUGUGCGAGUGCUGUGCAUUGAUUAAACUGCAGGGGUGUAUCCUAUGGCCCUUCUUCAGGUCUUAUUACUGUAAAUAGCAUUUUUAUUGAAAUCACUUGGCUUCCUCUGGUAGAAAUGUGGUUAUCUUAUAUUGAAAAGGGCAUGCCCAUUAAGAUUUAGAGUACAUAUGUUCUAUUUAAGUUGUGUUUAAGAUUGUGCUAUUCUGAAUUAUUGAUCUGGGAAACACUCAAGGGGAGGAAGCUACCCUUCUAGUUCUUACACUAAAUUCCAAAAGGGCUUAGCUCUUCAAAUAUGUCCAUGAUAAACUUUCCACUAUCAUAGGUGAAAACUUUAACAGUUCUUAAUCUCUAGGCAUUCUCCGCACAUUCUUGUACGUACUAUAUAUUCUGCUUGCAGUAUAAAG